UACGAAGGGGGCUAGCGUUGUUCGGAAUUACUGGGCGUAAAGCGCACGUAGGCGGAUAUUUAAGUCAGGGGUGAAAUCCCAGAGCUCAACUCUGGAACUGCCUUUGAUACUGGGUAUCUUGAGUAUGGAAGAGGUAAGUGGAAUUGCGAGUGUAGAGGUGAAAUUCGUAGAUAUUCGCAGGAACACCAGUGGCGAAGGCGGCUUACUGGUCCGACACCGACGUCAGGCACGAAAGCGUGGGGAGCAAACAGG
rnacentral:rRNA from 1 species